AAUUAGAAAGUGAAGAAUUACAUUUAGUUUCGGCCUAAACUUUGGUCAUCAAGACCUCUAAUUU
rnacentral:tRNA from 1 species